GUUUCCUGACACUCAGCCAACUUCUCUGCUGCAGCUGCCAGAUCUCUCUCCUGGAAUAAUACAAAACGGCAAAAUAUGCUGUGGAAGCAGUAGGGGCUACCUAUCAAAUCACCUCAAAUCAUGGGCAGCAAGAAUGAGCAAGUUUCAGGUUUUAAAAAAAAUGCGUCCACUUGCUACAGGUUAUUUUUUUAAAAAUAGUUGACAUAUCCUCCAAACUCCAAAUUUAUUCUUUUAUCAUCUAACACGAAGCAUAGGAAAGUAUGAUACGCCAUAUACAUUGUUGCUGAUUGAUAUUUGUUAGAUUUCUUUCUGUGGAUUUAAAUAUGUGCCAAGGAUGGAUCAUAUUAAGAACCCAAGUAACAAUCCAAAAGGGCAUCUCAAGAAGGUCUACACAUCUCACCUGAUUAGUCUUGGCAUCAACAUCAGGCGGACAACUUCUGAUCCUGGAAAAAGACGAGCUGUUCUUCAAGAUCCUUGCAUCUGGACAAAGCAUCCUGAUGAUUUCUUCUCUCCUCCUGGAGCUCAUUAUCCAGACUCUCUAUUUUU